CAAAACAAACAACCUUCCCAUCUUGGAAAGUUGCCACAUAUACAACACUGACAAAACUGUAAACAAACGCACAGACACUGACAACCUCCAUGUAGCUCACGCAGGACUACUACACCUAUUAAAAAAUGAGAGAAUUUAUAGAAUGAGAUAAUCAAAACAAACUAGAUUAUAAGAGAGACUUACUUCGGUCAAACCCACACUUAAUCAGAUAGACGAAACACACACACACUAAAAAAAGACGAAAUUAAUAUUGUAUAACACACGAAAAAGAAAGAGCAUACGAACAGUAAUGGUGGAAGAUCGCGAAGAUAGAACCCGAAUUUCAGACCGCUGGAGAAAAAACAGUUUGUCCACAUCACGAUGGUCCAUACUCGAUCGGACCAAAACUAAACCAAAACGAACGUAUGACUUUUCGAGUUUAGCAAAACUAUUUUUGACCAGAAAACCUUAAAGAUUGGUAAAUGUCUCUUCUAAAUGUUAAAUGUUAAAUGUAUUAUAACUUAUUGUAACUUUGUAUUAAACUUUUAGAA